rnacentral:rRNA from 1 species
UUAGUGGCGAACGGGUGAGUAACACGUGAGCAACCUGCCCCUGACUCUGGGAUAAGCGCUGGAAACGGCGUCUAAUACUGGAUAUGAGCUCCUGCCGCAUGGUGGGGGUUGGAAAGAUUUUUUGGUUGGGGAUGGGCUCGCGGCCUAUCAGCUUGUUGGUGAGGUAAUGGCUCACCAAGGCGUCGACGGGUAGCCGGCCUGAGAGGGUGACCGGCCACACUGGGACUGAGACACGGCCCAGACUCCUACGGGAGGCAGCAGUGGGGAAUAUUGCACAAUGGGCGGAAGCCUGAUGCAGCAACGCCGCGUGAGGGAUGACGGCCUUCGGGUUGUAAACCUCUUUUAGCAGGGAAGAAGCGAAAGUGACGGUACCUGCAGAAAAAGCACCGGCUAACUACGUGCCAGCAGCCGCGGUAAUACGUAGGGUGCAAGCGUUAUCCGGAAUUAUUGGGCGUAAAGAGCUCGUAGGCGGUCUGUCGCGUCUGCUGUGAAAUCCCGAGGCUCAACCUCGGGUCUGCAGUGGGUACGGGCAGACUAGAGUGCGGUAGGGGAGAUUGGAAUUCCUGGUGUAGCGGUGGAAUGCGCAGAUAUCAGGAGGAACACCGAUGGCGAAGGCAGAUCUCUGGGCCGUAACUGACGCU